GGGUUCGAUUAUGGCUCAGAUUGAACGCUGGCGGGAUGCUUUACACAUGCAAGUCGAACGGCAGCACGGACUUCCGGUCUGGUGGCGAGUGGCGAACGGGUAGGUAAUGUAUCGGAACGUGCCUAGUAGCGGGGGAUAACUACGCGAAAGCGUAGCUAAUACCGCAUACGCCCUUCGGGGGAAAGCAGGGGACCUUCGGGCCUCGCACUAUUAGAAGCGGCCGAUAUCGGAUUAGCUAGUUGGUGGGAGUAACGGCUCACCAAGGCGACGAUCCGUAGCUGGUUUGAGAGGACGACCAGCCACACUGGGACUGAGACACAGCCGGGCUCUACAGGAGGCAACGGUGGAAUUACCGGAACGGCGGAAGCGUCCAGCCAUCCCGCGUGUGCGAUGAAGGCCUUCCGGGUUGUAAAGCACUUUUGGCGGAAAGAAACGGCACAGGAUAAUACGUACAGCUGACGGUAUACCUGCAGAAUAAGCACCGGCUAACUACGUGCCAGCAGCCGCGAUGACCACGUAGAGAUUGCAAGCGUUAAUCGGAAUUACUGGGCGUAAAGCGUGCGCAGGCGGUUCGGAAAGAAGAUGUGAAAUCCCAGAGCUUAACUUUGGAACUGCGUGCAACUACCGAGCUAGAGUGUGUGUCAGAGAGUGGAAUUCCGCGUGUAGCAGUGAAAUGCGUAGAUAUGCGGAGGAACACCGGUGAGGCAACCUCCUGGGAUAACACUGACGCUCAUGCACGAAAGCGUGGGGAGCAAACAGGAUUAGAUACCCUGGUAGUCCACGCCCUAAACGAUGUCAACAGCUAUUCAGGGCCUUCGGGCCUUGGUAGCGCAACUAACGCGUGAAGUUGACCGCCUGGGAGUACGGUCGCAAGAUUAAAACUCAAGGAAUUGACGGGGACCCGCACAAGCGGUGGAUGAUGUGGAUUAAUUCGAUGCAACGAAAAACCUUACCUACCCUUGACAUGUCUGGAAUCCCGAAGAGAUUUGGGAGUGCUCGCAAGAGAACCGGAACACAGGUGCUGCAUGGCUGUCGUCAGCUCGUGUCGUGAGAUGUUGGGUUAAGUCCCGCAACGAGCGCAACCCUUAUCAUUAGUUGCUACGAAGGGCACUCUAAUGAGACUGCCAUUGGAAACCGGAGGAAGGUGGGGAUGACGUCAAGUGCUCUUUGGCCUUAUGGGUAGGGCUUCACACGUCAUACAAUGGUGGGGACAGAGGGUCGCCAACCCGCGAGAAGUUGUCCGAAACCCGAUCGCCGUCCGGAUCACCAGUCUACCCAGCUCGACUGCGUGAA
rnacentral:rRNA from 1 species